rnacentral:siRNA from 1 species
GUGAUUAUGUGUCAAGUUGUGG